AGUUGANCGGGNUCAGUUGUAGCAAUACGACUGUGAGAGUGGCGCACGGGUGCGUAACACGUAUGCAACCUACCUUAAACUGGGGAAUAGCCCCUCGAAAGAGGGAUUAAUACCGCAUAACGAGGCGUGUAGGCAUCUACACUCCUCUAAAACUCCGGUGGUUUAAGAUGGGCAUGCGGCUGAUUAGCUAGUUGGUGAGGUAAUGGCUCACCAAGGCUACGAUCAGUAGGGGGUCUGAGAGGAUGUCCCCCCACACUGGUACUGAGACACGGACCAGACUCCUACGGGGGGCAGCAGUAGGGAAUAUUGGACAAUGGGGGAAACCCUGAUCCAGCCAUGCCGCGUGCAGGAUGACUGCCCUAUGGGUUGUAAACUGCUUUUGUACGGGAAGAAACCACAUUACGUGUAAUGUGUUGACGGUACCGUGAGAAUAAGGAUCGGCUAACUUCGUGCCAGCAGCCGCGGUAAUACGAAGGAUCCUAGCGUUGUCCGGAUUUACUGGGUUUAAAGGGUGCGUAGGCGGACUUUUAAGUCAGUGGUGAAAGCCUGCAGCUUAACUGUAGAAUUGCCAUUGAAACUGAAAGUCUCGAGUGUGGUUGAGGUAGCUGGAAUGUAUCAUGUAGCGGUGAAAUGCUUAGAUAUGAUACAGAACUCCAAUUGCGAAGGCAGGCUACUAAACCAUAACUGACGCUGANGCACGAAAGCGUGGGGAUCAAACAGGAUUAGAUACCCUNNAGUCCACGCCCUAAACGUUGCAUACUCGGUUUUGGCGAUAUACAGUCAGGACCCAAGCGAAAGCGUUAAGUAUGCCACCUNNNAGUACNAUCGCAAGAUUGAAACUCAAGGAAUUGACGGGGGCCCGCACA
rnacentral:rRNA from 1 species